rnacentral:lncRNA from 1 species
CUCCUACAACAGAAAAUCUUUCCGGCUGCCUUUUUGCCAAAGUCCGAAAUCGUUAUCACCAAAAAAAUAAAACUGCCACAAACCAAAUAACCUGCCGUGACUAACACCUUCACCGCCUCCUGCAACUGCAAAUCCCCAGCAGCCAUCUACAGAACCCAGUCCCUCCCUCCGACACCUUCUACAUACAACCAACUUACCUAAAUUACAGCCAAACAAAAGACCAAGCCAUCGCCGACCAUGACACCAAACGGUGAAAAUUCUUACAGUCAUCUUCAUUACCCACAAAUCACAAAACCAAAAAAAAAUUUAAUUCCCAUAUAACCCAACGUUGUGACCGCAGUUCCAAAAAAGUUGAAUUCCAGAAAAGUCAUUAACCUUGCGACGGCAGUCCCCGCUCCAGUAAUAGCCGUCCAAGCCCAACUGUCGAAAAUAAUACCACUGUAAUGCGACACCCACACCCGCAGUCGACCAACAUAUUACCUUCAUCCAAAACCAGAAACGGAAUCAUCUCUCUCACUGCGCCCCACUUUGUUGAGGCGUUCCUCGUCGGCCAGUUCCAGUCGCCGACCUCUGCAGUCUUCAAUGCGUUGUAUGAAUUAUGGGUUUGGGGGCUGGGUUAUUAAUUAAGUGGGUUGGGUUAUUAGUUAUUAGUUGGGUUUGGGUUAAUUGGGUUAUUAAUUAAGUGGGUUGGGUAUUAGUUAUCAAUUGGGUUUUGGGUUAAUUGGUUUAAUAAUUAAGUGGGUUGGGUUAUUAGUUAUCAAUUGGGUUUGG